CCACAAGGGGGCGCCAGAGCUACAUGUUCUUGUGAGGAGAUUUAAAAUGUCCGAUUUUACCUGUAGCUUUUUUGGUAGUAAUUGCACCACUUAUUUUAGUUAAAUUAAAUUUUUGAUAUAAACAAAAUAAAGCGUAGUAAUAAGGUAUAGCUGAUAUUUGUGGGUAAAUUGACCUUUCACCCAGUUAGGGACGUAGUGAGCUGAUGACGCCCACGCAGGGAUGACGUACAUGAUUGACAGCUAGCAUUCAGUCCGUUACGGGGCGAUUUAAAACUACUACCGUACCGACAUGGAUUUGUCCUUGGAGCGCGGAAAAAGCACAAUAAAGAGGAAUUUGAUGAAGAAAACGGGAUAAUAAAGGAACUGGCUGCUCUAAGCGCUACACAGCAAGUGCCACAAGAGGUCCCACAGCGUCACACAGCUCAUCAAUAGAUUUGUUGCAGGAGGAAGGCAGGCUGCAAGGCACCAGUGCCUAGCAGCUGACUUAGAACUGGUGUGGACCAAGGGAAUCCGACCGUUUAAAUAAAAUAAAGCAUCGAGAGGGCCCGCGCCAAGUGCUAGCCAUGGUUCUGAGACAAUGUGAUUUCUGCCCUGUGCUCUGAAUGUCAAAGUAAAGAAAUUUAAUGAA